GGUGGACGCGGGAAGCAAUUCCUGAGGAAAGUCCGAGCAUCAUAGAGCAGGGUAGCUGUUAACUACAGCCGAGGGCGACCUUAGGGCUAGUGCAACAGAAAUAUACCGCCUGUUUUACAGGUAAGGAUGGAAAGGCGAGGUAAGAGCUCACCGGAGUGGUAGAGAUGCCGCUGCCAUGUAAACCCUAUCCGAUGCAACGCCGAUUGGUUCGGAGGAUAACGCUUCUGCUCGAAGCGCUUCGUUUAAGGCGGCUAGAGCUUAUCGGCGACGAUAAGACCAGAUAGAUGUUCACCCAACGACAGAACUCGGCUUAUCGAUUUAG
rnacentral:RNase_P_RNA from 1 species